UAAGGUCACCUCACCAAAGAGGCCCAUCAACAUUGAAGAAUAUUUCAGUGAAUCUUGACUCACCAAACUCAAUGACUUUUCAUUGAAAAGGGAGAGCAGAUUACAUAAUCAAAAGCACCAAGUUGAAACAUUUGCAAGGUGAGGAAACUGAGCACUAAGACAUUAAGUAACUUGCCCAGGGUCAUACGACAGACAUGAGAGGUUUACAUCAGACAGUCUCCACCCCUGUUCCGAAGUCAAGAGGCUGACUCGGGUUGCUACUUCUUCACAGACCAGAUCCCAGAUCGCCGAAGACCAUUUGGACACACUUCUAUCAAAUCCUGGCGGUCUCCUUCUAACAGAGAGUGGGAUGCUGAUGUAAUGAUAACCCAAAAUGUGGAAGUGACCUUGGAACUGUUUAACAGGCAGAGUUUGGAACUGUUUGGAGGGCUCAGAAGACAGGAAGAUAUGGCAAAGUUUGGAACUUUCUGGAGACUUGUUGAAUGGCUUUGACCAAAAUACUGAUAGUGAUAUGAACAACGAAGUAUAGGCUGAGGUGUUCUCAGAUGGAGAUAA
rnacentral:antisense_RNA from 1 species